AAGAAGGUAGCAUAAAGGUUAUGUAGUUGGCUUGAAACUAAUUUAAGGGGGUUCAAUUCCCUCCUUUCUUG
rnacentral:tRNA from 1 species